rnacentral:rRNA from 1 species
CAGUUCGGUCUCUAUCUUCUGUGGUCGUUGGAAAAUUGAAGGAAGCUGCUCCUAGUACGAGAGGACCGGAGUGGACGAACCUCUAGUGCACCAGUUGUCGUGUCAGCGGCAUAGCUGGGUAGCUAUGUUCGGAAGGGAUAACCGCUGAAAGCAUCUAAGUGGGAAGCCCCUCCUAAGAUUAAUUUUUCCUAUGAAUCCCCCUGUAGACUACAGGGUUGAUAGGUUGCAGAUGUACGCACAGCGAUGUGUUCAGUCGAGCAAUACUAAUGGAUCAAAGAACUUA